UACAGAGGGGGCAAGCGUUGUUCGGAAUUACUGGGCGUAAAGGGCGCGUAGGUGGUUUGAUAAGGGUGUGGUGAAAGUCCGGGGCUCAACUCCGGAUCUGCCGUGCCGACUGUCAAACUCGAGGGCUGUAGAGGCAGACGGAAUUCCGGGUGUAGCGGUGGAAUGCGUAGAGAUCCGGAGGAAGACCGGUGGCGAAGGCGGUCUGCUGGGCAGUUUCUGACACUGAGGCGCGACAGCGUGGGGAGCAAACAGG
rnacentral:rRNA from 1 species